UACAGAGGCCUCGAGCGUUAGGCGGAAUCACUGGGCUUAAAGCGUGUGUAGGCGGGCGGGCAAGUACCUUGUGAAAUCCCACGGCUCAACCGUGGAACGGCUGGGUAUACUGCCUGUCUUGAGCCAACUAGGGGCGAGCGGAACAGACGGUGGAGCGGUGAAAUGCGUAGAUAUCGUCUGGAACGCCAAAGGUGAAAACAGCUCGCUGGGGUUGUGCUGACGCUGAGACACGAAAGCCAGGGGAGCGAACGGG
rnacentral:rRNA from 1 species